UACGGAGGGUGCAAGCGUUGUCCGGAUUUAUUGGGUUUAAAGGGUGCGUAGGCGGCCCGUUAGGUCAGUGGUGAAAGCCUCCAGCUCAACUGGAGAACUGCCAUUGAUACUGACGGGCUUGAGUACAGACGAGGUUGGCGGAAUUGAUUGUGUAGCGGUGAAAUGCAUAGAUACAAUCAAGAACACCGAUUGCGUAGGCAGCUAACUAGGCUGUAACUGACGCUGAGGCACGAAAGCGUGGGGAGCGAACAGG
rnacentral:rRNA from 1 species